GACCCCAGUUCAGGCGAGAUCACCCGCUGAGUUUAAGCAUAUAAAUAAGCGGAGGAAGAGAAACUUACAAGGAUUCCCCUAGUAGCGGCGAGCGAACCGGGAACAGCCCAGCAUGAAAAUCGGGCGGUCCUUGC
rnacentral:rRNA from 1 species